rnacentral:rRNA from 1 species
UACGGAGGGUGCGAGCGUUGUUCGGAAUCACUGGGCGUAAAGGGUGCGUAGGCGGGUCUUUAAGUCAGGGGUGAAAUCCUGGAGCUCAACUCCAGAACUGCCUUUGAUACUGAAGAUCUUGAGUUCGGGAGAGGUGAGUGGAACUGCGAGUGUAGAGGUGAAAUUCGUAGAUAUUCGCAAGAACACCAGUGGCGAAGGCGGCUCACUGGCCCGAUACUGACGCUGAGGCACGAAAGCGUGGGGAGCAAACAGG